UCUCCCCCAAGAGUCCACAUCGACGGGGAGGUUUGGCACCUCGAUUGUCGGCUCAUCGCAUCCUGGGCUGUAGUCGGUCCCAAGGGUUGGGCUGUUCGCCCAUUAAAGCGGUACGCGAGCUGGGUUCAGAACGUCGUGAGACAGUUCGGUCCCUAUCCGUCGCGGGCGUAGGAAAUUUGAGAGGAGCUGUCCUUAGUACGAGAGGACCGGGAUGGACAUACCGCUGGUGUACCAGUUGUGCCGCCAGGCGCAUCGCUGGGUAGCUAUGUAUGGAUGAGAUAAACGCUGAAAGCAUCUAAGUGUGAAACUCGCCUCAAGAUGAGAUUUCCCAUUCCUAUAUGGAAGUAAGACCCCUCAGAGAUGAUCAGGUUGAUAGGUUAGAAGUGGAAGUGUGGUGACACAUGUAGCGGACUAAUACUAAUAGCUCGAGGACUUAUCCAA
rnacentral:rRNA from 1 species